rnacentral:lncRNA from 1 species
GUUCUUCUAGCCAACAUGAUUUCUUGGAAGCUCUCCUUGAUAAUGGUCUUACCAAUGAUUGUAUCCACCAGUUAUUUGUGGUUUGUUCGCUCUCCUUCUCUCGAAUUUGCUUUCUGAGAUUCAAUUUCUGGUAUAAACUAAGUUAGUCUUUAUAGCAGUAUCUGAAAAAUGAAAAUCAAAGUAAUCAUGUUAGUCUUUGUGCAUAUAUGCUGUUAUACAACUAAUACCGAAGCAUUUAGCCUCCUUAGUACUUCUCUUUUUAAAGUUCAUAUAUUUAAGAAAGUUGGAGUUCUUUAUUCAGAUGUAGUGUAUGACAAGUAUUUCUUCUAACCAUGUGAAGGAGUUAGUCUCUGCUGGUUCAGACACCAGUACCUCAACAAUUGAGUGGGCGAUGGCAGAACUGAUAAAAAAUGUAGAGACAAUGAAGAAAGUUCAAGAGGAGCUCGAGAUAGAACUCAGUGAAAGUGAUUACCCAAAAGAAUCUCAAUUGCUGCAGAUGUCCUAUGUCCAAGCCUGUGUGAAGGAAACACUUAGGUUGCAUCCUCCAGCACCAUUUCUGCUUCCACAUCGUGCUAUCGAAACCUGCCAAGUGAUGAAUCACACAAUUCCUAAAGACGCUCAAAUCUUGGUUAAUGUCUGGGCUAUCAUGAGGGAUCCUUUGAUAUGGGAAGAUCCAGAGAUGUUUAGACCACAGAGGUUUCUGAGUUCCGAUAUGGACUUCAAAGGGAAUGACUUUGAGUUCUUACCCUUUGGUGCAGGAAGGAGAAUAUGCCCAGGCCUGCCAAUGGCUGCAAUAAUAAUUCCCUUAGUCCUUGCUUCGCUUGUUCAUUUCUUUGAUUGGGAGCUUCCUCACAGAGAACGUCCCACUGAGCUAGACAUGACUGAAAAGUUUGGAGUAACACUGCAAAAGAAAGAACCGCUGCUUCUGAUUCCCAAGCCCAGAAAAUGACCAUUGAGAUAUACAAUCAGUAUCUCUUAUCUGUGUUAUCCGUUGGAAAGUCUAUCUGCAUUAAAGAACGAUAGAAUGACAACCUACAAAGAAUUUGUUUACCUUUUCCCUCUGUACAGAAUGAACAACAGUUGUGUGUCUAUGACUAAAUGAAGAGCUUUGUCAAAAGAACAAUCAAUAAACUUGGCUGAUAAUAAGAGGAUGAACUUCCAUCAGCAUCAAGGGGUGCUUAAACGGGGACUGUGUGCAGCACUGUCGUCCUCUGCUUUGUGAUCCUGUAGUCCUCACAUGAAUACAUCUUCAACAGUUCCCUUUUGUGUUAUCCCUGUGCAUUAGAUACAAGUAUUUCUUGUCCUCCUGUAAUAUCGUGUAAUCAUAAACAGAAGUUCUUUUGGUGAUAAGAGACAAGUUAUAGUCCUAUUAAGACAAGAUCAUGUGUCAAGUUGCAUGAUUUCCAAGUAAAAAUGUUUCACUUGGGUGUACUCUCCUUACCAUUGAUGAGAAUGGAACAGUAUUCACAAGAUGAUUAUCACAAAGAUACAGAUGCUGAGAUGGAUGUGCUAAAGUAGUGGCAUAACAUUUUAGGCAGAACAGGUAAUAGCUAGAAGGAUGUCAUGAGCAUCACAAAAACCCAGAUAAUGAUUGUCUACUUAUUGUACAAGAGAUGUUUGAACCUGUUAAUUUUUUGAAAAAAAAUAAAGAAAUAAAGAUUGAAAGUUCACCUAUAUAAAAAAUGAAAUGCUCCAAUCAACCUACUAUAGUCGUUAG